rnacentral:rRNA from 1 species
UACGAAGGGAGCUAGCGUUGUUCGGAAUCACUGGGCGUAAAGCGCACGUAGGCGGAUGUGUCAGUCAGGGGUGAAAUCCCGGAGCUCAACUUCGGAACUGCCUUUGAUACAGCACAUCUGGAGUCCGGAAGAGGUGGGUGGAAUUCCUAGUGUAGAGGUGAAAUUCGUAGAUAUUAGGAAGAACACCGGUGGCGAAGGCGGCCCACUGGUCCGGUACUGACGCUGAGGUGCGAAAGCGUGGGGAUCAAACGGG